rnacentral:rRNA from 1 species
UACGAAGGAUCCAAGCGUUGUCCGGAUUUACUGGGUUUAAAGGGUGCGUAGGCGGAGAAUUAAGUCAGUGGUGAAAGCUCUCAGCUUAACUGGGAAAUUGCCAUUGAAACUGAUUUUCUCGAGUAUGGUUGAGGUUACCGGAAUGUUGCAUGUAGCGGUGAAAUGCUUAGAUAUGCAACAGAACACCGAUUGCGAAGGCAGGUAACUAAGCCAUAACUGACGCUGAGGCACGAAAGCGUGGGGAGCAAACAGG